rnacentral:rRNA from 1 species
GCGGAGGAACAUGUGGUUUAAUUCGAUGAUACGCGAGGAACCUUACCUGGGCUAGAACGCAUUCGGAAUCACGGCCGAAAGGCCUGCGCCAGCGAUGGCCGCUUGCGAGGUGCUGCAUGGUUGUCGUCAGCUCGUGCCGUGAGGUGUCGGGUUAAGUCCCAUAACGAGCGCAACCCCUACUGCUAGUUGCCAGCGGGUCAUGCCGGGGACUCUAGCGGAACUGCCAGCGUAAGCUGCGAGGAAGGUGGGGAUGACGUCAAAUCAGCACGGCCCCUACGUCCAGGGCUACACACGUGUUACAAUGGCCGGUACAGAGGGCAGCCACCCCGCGAGGGGGCGCGAAUCCCGAAAGCCGGUCCCAGUUCGGAUCGGAGUCUGCAACCCGACUCCGUGAAGCUGGAUUCGCUAGUAAUCGCGCAUCAGCCACGGCGCGGUGAAUACGUUCCCGGGCCUU